GUAGGGAAUCUUCCACAAUGGACGAAAGUCUGAUGGAGCAACGCCGCGUGAGUGAAGAAGGUUUUCGGAUCGUAAAACUCUGUUGUAAGGGAAGAACACGUACGAGAGUAACUGCUCGUACCUUGACGGUACCUUAUUAGAAAGCCACGGCUAACUACGUGCCAGCAGCCGCGGUAAUACGUAGGUGGCAAGCGUUGUCCGGAAUUAUUGGGCGUAAAGCGCGCGCAGGCGGUUCUUUAAGUCUGAUGUGAAAGCCCACGGCUCAACCGUGGAGGGUCAUUGGAAACUGGAGAACUUGAGUACAGAAGAGGAAAGCGGAAUUCCACGUGUAGCGGUGAAAUGCGUAGAGAUGUGGAGGAACACCAGUGGCGAAGGCGGCUUUCUGGUCUGUAACUGACGCUGAGGCGCGAAAGCGUGGGGAGCAA
rnacentral:rRNA from 1 species